GCUAUAUUUAUAUAUUUAAACUCUUUCCCUAGUCAUUCCAAUGUCUAGCUUCCUCUAGCAUGGUUUUUGUCUAUUAUUUUUUUCUGUGGAUGAGCUGUACUUUCCUGUUUCUUUGUAUGCCUGUAUUUUUUGUUGUUUAAAACUGGACAUUUUGAACACUAUACUGUGGUAACUCUAGAUAGCACACUUUCUUCUCUCCCCAGGAUUUGCUGUUGUUGAUUGUUGAGGACUGCAGUAGUCUGUUUGUUUAGUGACUUUUCCAAACUAUUUUUGUAAAGACCAUGUUCUCUGUUUUGUGUAGUCACUGAAGUUUCUGUUCUAUUAUUUCACUGGCCAGCCAGUGACCUGACAGAGGUUUCCUUAAAUGCCCAGAGCCAAAAAGAAAAAUCAAAGCAACUCCAUUGGUCUUUGCAUAUUGGCUGGGGUACUCCUUUAACUCUGCCUUAGCCCUUACCUCCUGCUUGCAUGGAGCCCAAAGACCAGCCAGAUGUGCAAGUAUAUGAUUUAUUCUGAGCCUAUAUCUGGCUUUGAGCCUGUGUGUUGCACUCUAGAUUCCCUAGUAUACAAGACAGCCCUUCAGAGCAUUUAUUCCUCCUCCUUGCUCCUCCCCCAAGACUCCUCCUCCUCAGCUUUCUCCUAUUGAGGCUUUUGAGUCUGUCUUCUGCUUGCCUGCUUUUUCAUCCUUUGCUCCAGGCAGCUAUGGGUAUCGCAUGUCUUUGCUUGCCUUUGCCGUUUCUGUGGUACCACUCCUCCUCCUGCCAGAUUUUGCCCCAGCCCUUUAUUUCUCUGAUUUCCUUCAUCAUUUUCCCCUUAUGAGUAUCUUGCCUUAGAUGACAAAUGAUUCUAGUCUCACUCAUCUAAAAAGAAAAUAAUCUCCAUCCAAUUUUUGUCUUCUCCAAAGAUUGUCUACAUUCUCUCUCUCCCCUUCAAUUUUUUUUGCCCCACAAACCCCUACAUUCUUGUUUUUAUUAAAUUAUGCUCCUUAAAGACAACCUAUGAUUUCCUAAUUGCUCUGUGAAAGUUGAGGGGUUUUUAGUCAACUUCUUGUAUGUUUUGGAGGCAUUGUUCAAUGCUGACCCAUCCUUCCUUCCUGAAACAUUUGUUCCUUUUGACUUCUGUGACAUUUACUGGUUUAUGUUUCCUGACAUUUGUGAUUCUUUUGAUUCUUCCUGACAUUUAUUAUUCUCUCUUUUAUGGGCUUAUCUCCUUCCACCCACUCCUUAACUCCUUAAACUCCGAGAUCCCCCAAGGCUUAACCCCUCACCCACAGUCUUCGUUACACACUCUCUGGGGGAUCUUGUCCACACUCACUCAUUGUUUUGACAUUAUCUAUACACCGAUAACUCCCAAUUCUGUGUCUCUAAAACUUUUAUUUUCCUCCUUAAGAAGAGAACUCAUAUAUCCUAUUUCCUACUAGAUGGAUAGAUCAACAUCUCACAGGUACCAAAACAGAAACUACCCUAACCUCUUCCUCCAGUAUUCUCAAUCACCACUGGAAAUACCACCUGUCACUAGGUUAGAAAUUGAGUUUCAAUUUAAACUCCCUGUUCUUUGUUAUCAACACACAAGGAAUCAGUGAGUUUUGUCUGUUUAGCCUCUUGGGUAUGUCCUUCUCUCUUGGACCACUGUGUCAGCAUCCUCAGUAGUCUCUCUCUCAGUGCUGUCAUCCGGUAAUUUCUUUCUUUUCUUUUCUUCUUUUUUUUUUUUGAGACAGAUUUUCACUCUGUCACUCAGGCUAGAGUACAGUGGCAUGAUCUCAGCUCACUGCAACCUCUGCCUCCUGGGUUCAAGCAGUUCUUAUGCCUCAGCCUCCCAAAUAGCUGAGAUUACAGGCACACACCACCAUGCCCAGCUAAUUUUUGUGUGUGUAUAUAUAUAUUUUUUAGCAGAGACAGGGUUUUGCCAUGUUGCCCAGGCUGGUCUCAAACUCCUGAGCUCAGACAAUCCACCUGCCUUGGCCUCCCAAAGUGCUAGGAUUACAGGCAUGAGCCACCAGGCCCAGCCCCCUAAUUCCUUUCUCAUCUGCAGAAGAGGAAAUUCUUCAAUGCAAAUAUAAUCAUAUCCUUCCUGCUUUUAGUUCUUUAGUGGCUGCCCAUCUUCUUCAGCUCCUUCAUCAAUCAGGCCCCCACACAUCUCACUAUUGACACUUCCUGCUUCUGACUUUAUGUUACAGCGCCUUUGGACUGCAGCCAUUCAUCUGCAUUUGCCAGGCCUUUUCUUGCCUCUGUGUCUUCCCUCCCUCUCCCACUCCAUAACACCUACUCACAUCAUUCCUAAAGGCAUUCCUGGCUCCAUCCUCAAGGUCACUGCUCUGAGCUCUGGGGACACAUUGGGCCUAUUCUAGUGGUUGCAUUCGUACACUGUUCUGCAGUGAUCUGUCUCCAUGCCUUUCCCUUUUACUUCAGGCUGCUCGUAUACCCAUCACCUUUUGCAUUCCUGCCACAUUGUUAAUCCUCAGCUGAAGUUAACAGAACAAAUCCAUGAAUAAAUGAACAAAUGAUGUACAGAUUUUUUUCCCCUUCCUAUGGGAAAGAGUUGGCAAAAUAGAAAUUAGAAGCAGUAACUGGAAACAAUCAUGAGAAAUCUUUCAAAUAGAAAACAAUACACUGCUGGUUUAACUGGUUUUUAAAAGUAAUCAUAUUUAAAGCAAUAUUUAGAGUAGCAUUUGAACUUUAUGGAAUUCUAAAUUGGGAGAGAUUACAGAAGGUCAUCUGUCUCAACCUCUAGUUUCUGAAAUACAAUAAUUAAAAAGAAAAAAAAUGCUUAUUUUAAAAGAUGCCCUUUAAAAGAGUUUCAUGUGUCUUGAACCAUCCCUGGACAAUGAGCCUUACAAUUUCUGGACCUGCUGAACUAAAACUGUUCAACCAAAUACUAAAAUAAGCUCCAAGGAAAGGAGUGGGGAGGUUUGCUGUGGAGAAGAGCUGGUGUUGCCUAGUAACCUAUAGGCAGCCCUGCCAUAGGCUUGCGCUUGCCUGACCUCCCAGAUAGCCAGGAGCAAGGAAACUUACUUGUCAACGUACUGAUACCUCCUUCUUUUCUGUCUCUUUAAAGAGCACCAUUCUCAGUUCACUGCAACCUCCGCCUCCUGGGUUCAAGCCAUUCUCAUGCCUCAGCCUCCCCAGUAGCUGAGAAUACAGGCACGCACCACCAUGCCCAGCUACUUUUUUAUAUAUUUUUUUUUUCAGUAGAGACUGGUGAAAGUCAUUAAGUCCUAAUCUUUGUUUCUAGCUAGUGGUUGUCAAUCUAUAGCGUAUGUAAGGCUUGUUAAACCAUAGAUUACUGGCUCCACCCCCAGAGUUUCCGAUUCAGAUGUCUGGGCUGGGGUCCAAGAAUCUGCAUUGCUCGAAAGUGCGUCCCAGGUGAUGUUGGUGAUGCUGGUCUGGGGACCACAUUUUGAGAGCCACUGUUCCAUGCUGUCUCUGAGAAUGGCCACGAUGACUCACAUGACGACCUUCAGGAUGCAGUUAAAUGGGAUUUAAGGUUAUAUUUUUAUGCCUCUCAAAUACUCAAAUAAAUGUCAUGUUGGAGGAUGUAAACCAUCACCUUGUCUGGGCUGCUUUCUAAACUAUUUUGCUUUUAGGUUAGUAGUUUUGUUUCUCUGGCCUUCUUGGAUCCUUCGUAGAUAGGUCACUGGGCUAUUGUGCCUUAUAGUUAAUGAAAUCAUCACUGAUGUGGAAUACUAAUAGGGCAAGUUUUCAAGAGCUACAGACAGGGUCUCUGCAUGCAUUGUGACCAGUUGUUUAGGAACUUUUGUACUUUUUAACAAGCACAUUUUUUAAAAACACAUGAAAGUGAAUGUUCUAAAGUGAUACAAUUUUUUUUUUUUUUGAGAUGGAGUCUCUGACGCCCAGGCUUGGAAUGUAAUGAUACAAUCUCCACUCACUGCAACCUCUGCCUCCUGGGUUCAAGCGAUUCUCCUGCCUCAAACUCCUGAGUAGCUGGGACUACAGGCAUGGAUCACCAUGCCCGGCUGAUUUUUGUAUUUUUAGUAGAGAUGGGGUUUUGCCAUGCUGGCCAGGCUGGUCCCAAACCCCUGAUCUCAGGUGAUCUGCCGCCUUGGCCUCCCAAAAGUUCUAGGAUUACAGGCGCGAGCCACCGAGCCUGGCCUAAAGUGAUAGAAUAUUUUAAAUAAGUCUGUGUCUAUGUUUUUGGAUUUUUUGUUUGUUUAAUCUUUUGUUUUGUUUUGUUUUUGCUGAUUUGUUUGUUUGUUUUUUUGAGAUAGAGUCUGGGUCUGUGGUCAAUCACCAGGCUGGAGUGCAGUGAUUCAAUCUUGGCUCACUGCAACCUCCACCUCCCGGGUUCAAGCAAUUCUCCUGCCUCAGGGUCCUGAGUAGCUGGGACUACAGGCUUACGUCACCAUGCCCAGCUCAUUUUUGUAUUUUUUUAGUAGAGACAGGGUUUCACUAUGUUGGCCAGGAUGGUCUCUAUCUCUUGACCUUGUGAUCCACCUGCCUCAGCCUCCCAAAGUUCUGGGAUUAUAGGCGUGAGCCACCAAGCCCGGCCUGUUUUUGCUGUUUUUAAAGGAAAAAGAAGAGAAUAAAAAGAUGAGUGUUGAGAGUGCUGAUAGAGAGCAGUGUGACUCCCAAGUGUCACAGGGGCUCAGAUGCCACAAAGACCCCAGAUAUGGCUGUGUACAGGCACUCUUUGUUCAUGCUUCACACCAGCUUCAAAGCAGAACCAACCGAGGCAGGAGUGAGCAAUGUGAAAUGUACAGACUGAGAGGGUUUCAUUGCUACCACUCAGCAUUUCACCCCCAGAUUCCCCAUUAGUUUUUGUUACAAGUUUCUCUGCUGCAGAGCCCUGCUCUCUCUUCAUUCACUCUCCCUGGCUGCAACCAAGUGGAAGCCAUUGCCACCUUUUCCUUUGCAAUACUAAGCAGUUUAGCUGAGUCCCAGCUCUCUCAAGUCCAGCCACCAGCUGGCCCAGGCUCAAAAAGGACUCAGGAAAGCACAUUAUCAAAGCAGGUCGCCUGCAGAGGGAUUUUAUCAGUAAGGGUCCUGGCAGGAACAGAUGGAGCACUCCAAUGGGUAAUUUGAGGAGAAUUUAAUUGAGGGGCCAUUUAAAGGCAUAGGCCAGGUUUAGGGAAAACAAUUAGGGCUAGGAACAGCGGACUGACUUACCCCUCUCUAUUAGGCAGAAUUCUAAGAAGACUUCCAAUGUGUCACACCCUUGUAUAAUCUGCCCUUAAAUAUGGGUAGAACUUGGUGGGGUGCAGUAGCUUAUGCCUGUAAUCCCAACACUUAUUAGCCAGGAGUGGUGGCAGGUGUAAUUCCAGCUACUCAGGAGUCUGAGGCAGGAGACUCACUUGAACCCAGGAGGUGGAGGUUGCAGUGAUCUGAGAUCGUGCCACUGCACUGCAGCCUGGGCAACAGAAUGAGACGCCAUCUCAAAAUAUAUAUAUACAUAUGGGUGAAAAUUGUGAUUUGUGUCUAGCCAAUAAAAUAUGACAGAGGUGAUGGGCUAUCACUCCUAUGAUCAAGUUCCAUUGUGGAGGAAUGUGUCUUAGCUGACUAGUGAGAGAGUCUCCUGCUGGCCUUGGAGAAGUGAGCCACGAUGUUGUGAGACAGCCAUCUGGCAGGGAGCCAUGGGUAACUUCUAAGACCUGGAGUGGUCCUUGGUUGAAAGCCAGCAAGCAAGAAAGCAGCAUUCUCAGUACCAUGAUGAUGAGAAAUCAAGUUCUGCCAAUUGCCAUGUGAGUUUAGAAGAGAACUCAAGCUCCAGAAAGAAAUGCAGUGUGGCCAACACCCGAGUGGUAGCCUUGCAAGAGCUGAACAGAGGACCCAGCUAAGCCAGGCCCAGAUGCCUGAUCCACAGAGACUGUAAGAUAAGGCAUGUGUGCUGUUUUAAGCCACUGAGUUUGUGGUGAUUUGUUAGGCAGAAUAGAUGGCUAUGACAUAUCCCUAAGACCCCAAGACUAAUGAGGCAAUGAGAGAGGGCAGUUACCAGAACCCAAAGGAUGGGCAUUCUGGCCAGAGCUGUGGCCUUCGGGAGGCACAGCCAACCUGUGGCAGCCUGAGCAGGAGGGAGCGAGGGAAGGAGGACUCUAACCUCCCCCUCACCCUGUUCUCUGGCCCUUGUCAGUGCUCCCACUAGAAAACCCAGACAGAGGAAGCAGAGAAGCAACUGGCUUCUAGAGUCCCACAUGGCAGCUUCUCAGGGCAUACUGCAGGGUGCAGAGGGGAGCACAGCAGAUUUGGAGGGGCAAAUGAUAUAUAUAUACAUCUAGUACCUGUGUAUUCUCAGACCAGACACAAGACAAAUAAGCUUUCUUUCAAAUACAUUCAAUGUUUGACAGUAGAGUAGAAAGACUAUACUUAAUAAAAAUGUACUGUACUUGGACGAUGGACAGCAUGAAUACUCUGACUUGAUCAGUAUACAUUAUAUACACGCAACAAAAUUUCACAGGAUCCAUAAGUUGGUAUAAUUAUUUAUUUAUUUUUUGACUCAGAGUCUUGCUCUGUUGCCAAGGCCCAGGCUAGAGUGCAGAGGUGAGAUCUUAGCUCCCUGCAACCUCCGCCUCCCAGGUUCAAGUGAUUCUUGUGCCUCAGCCUCCAGAGUAGAUGGGACUACAGGCUCACAUCACCACGCCCGGCUCAUUUUUGUAUUUUUAGUAGAGACUUGGUUUCACCAUGUUGGCCAGGCUGGUCUCGAACUCCUGACCUCAAGUGAUCCACAUGCCUAGGCCUCCCAGAGUGCUGAGAUUACAGGUGUGAGCCACCAUGCCUGGCCCAUAAGUUUGUGCAAAUUUAAAAAGAAAAAGUGAAAAAGAGUUUUCUUUCAUCUUGUUAUCUAUAUAAAUGGACAGCAGAAAGGAAAAGAAAUGAUAAUUGAGGUCUGGGUUUCCACAGUGGAACUAAAUAAAAGUAUCCUAUAAACUAAAAUGACUUAAAUCUUGACUUUCUCCCUUGAUAAGUAGGCUAAUCAAAGCAUAUCUGGACAUAAGUUGCUUUACUCCAGAGGCCCCUGUACUAUAAUUACACUUUAGGCGCCGGCAUUUUUCAAGGUCUAGAGAGAGACAAUGUGUAUACUAAGGCUGGAUAAGAAUUAGAUGAGAUACACACAUCAAAGAAAAAAAAAAAAGGUUGGCCAUAAAUCAUACAGUGCUGUAGUUACUGGGCAGAUGAAUGGUCUCUAGAGAACACUUUUGCUGUUAGUUUUUCCUAGUCAUUCCCUAAAAGAUAUAAUUUAUUCUCUGCUAUGAUAAGAAAUGGAUUAGUUCAAAUACCUGUGUCUGCUUUUAUAGCUAUACAGUUAAGGAUCUGCAUUCAUUUGCCCUGGCUGCUUUAACACGGUACCACCAACUGGGUGGCUUACACAAAUGAAAUGUAUUGUCUCACAGUUCUGGAGGCUGGAAGUCCCAGAUCAAGGUGUCAGCAUGGCUGAGAUUGGUUGGUUGUUUCUGAGACAGGAUCUUGCUCUGGUGGCCAGGCUGGAGUUCAGUGACACAGUCACGACUCACUGUAACCCUGACUUCCUGGGCUCAAGCAAUCCUCUAAUCUCAGGCUCAGGAGCAGCUGAGACCAGGGACCAUAGGCAUGUAUCACCUCACCAAGCAAAAUUUUUAUUUUUUUUACUAAUUUUUCAAUGUUUUGUAGAAACACAGUCUUGCUUUAUUGCCCAGGCUGGUCUCAAACUCCCAGGCUCAAGCAGUCUUCCUGCCUUGGCCUUCCAAAGUGCUAAGUUACAGGUGUGAGCCGCCACACUGACCAGGGUUGGUUUUGUUUUCCUGGUUGGUCGGUUCUGUUGGUUUUGAGACAGGGUCUUACUCUAUUGCUCAGGCUGGAGUGCAGUGGCACAGUCAUAGCUCACUGCAGCCUUGACCUCCCAGGCUUAAGCAAUCCUCCUACCUCAGCCUCCUAAUUAGCUGGGACCACAAGUGAGCACCCCCCCCAUGCCUGGCUAAUUUUUUAAAAUUUUGUAGCAACAGCCUCCCUUUGUUGCCCAGGCUAGUUUUGAAUUCCUGGGUUCAAGCAAUCCUCCCCCUUCGGCAUCCCAAAGUGCUGGGAUUGCAGGUGUGAGCCACCAUGCCCAGACCCAUUUUACAUUUAUAGGAUGUAAAAUAUGUCUUCAACCCAUGUUAAAUAAACCAAAGUUCAUGUUUAUGUACAGAUAUGGAACCAUAGCCAAGAUAAAGAGAUAAGUGAAAAAGAAAAUAAGGAUUGGGAGAGUAGUAUUUGCUGGUAUGUGCAUAGAAAUAUUUCUGAAAGGUAACACAAAACUUGCUAACAGUGGUUUUCCCUGGAGAGUGGGAAUAGGAUGGGGACAUUCCCUGCAAAUUCAUUUGUAUCUUUUGAAUUUGGUUCCAUGUGUAUGUACUAGAUCUUUGAAAACAUGGGUGAUUAAACAUUUUUAAAGGUAUCCGUGUUCUACAAACCAAAAUAUAUGCUCAACAUUGGAGGUGACCUUCCAGAAAAUAAAAAUAAUGAAUUUUCCCUCAAUGGACAAGGUUGUCAAUAGGCAGUCCUCCCAUAUCUGAUAUUUAUCCUCAUGUGCUAAGAAUGAUUUAUUCACCUCCACCAAUGAACUCAUUUCCACGAGGGGUACAGAGUUUUUAAUUAUGUGGCCAUGUACAAAAUCAGAAAUGUUCUGUCUUUCUGGUUUGCCUACGUGCUUUACACAGGAAAACUGGAAAACAUGCUUUCAUGCAAACUAUUGCAGGGAAAAGGACUAUAAACAUCAAACCGUUAAAACAAUCACUGUGAUUGGGAGGUGAGUGGGGAGGCCAUAUUCAUGUUUGUACUAUUUUUGAAGUACUUCCUGGGCCAUAAUUAAAGGGGAAACAAUCUUACACUAUUUGCUUUUCUGUUUAACAGUAUAGGUGGUUGUAUAGGAUGUUUCUGUUACUUUUUUUCCUUUUUUGAGAAAGAAAAAAAGGCUGUUGCCCAGGCUGGAGUACAGUGGCACGAUCUUGGCUCACUGCAACCUCCACCUCCUGGGCUCAAGCCAUCCUCCCACCUCAGCCUCCCAAGUAGCACACACCACCAUACCCAGCUAAUUUUUUGUAUUUUUAGUAGAGAUGGGGUUUUGCCAUGUUGCCCAGGCUGGUCUCGAACUUCUGAGCUCAAGCAACCCACCCACUUCGGCCUCCCAGAGUGCUGGGAUUGCAGGCGUGAGCGACCAUACCCAGCCUGUUACUAUUUAUUGAUCUCUCUGUUCCCUUUGGCGUUGUUCUAGUGGUGUCGUGCAAAUUGAGAAUGAGGUAGUUUUUUUUUCUAACUCAAUAAAAUGGCAUCAUAGAAGAGAUUCCUACAAUCAAGCAGUUGUUUUCUUUAGAAACUUAACAGUUCUUUUUUAGAAUACUUUAGAGACCCAGAAUAUAUCAGUUAUUAAUUCUUUCCUCUCCUUUCUAUCAGGCUGUGUGACCCUGGUUACUGUAGGCUCUUAUGUAAAAUGAGCUCUUUGCAGGUAAACACCUCUGUUCAAAUUACAUUCUGGAAUUGCUCAGCCCUCAGACAGAAAACUCACAAGGAUCACAUUUAGGAAACUGUCGUGCCUGGUCCAGAUCCUCAUCACAUCCAGUCAGUCAGCCAAGCAGACAGUCCCAAGGCUUUCAAGACUUUGCACGAAGCUGCUGAUCUGACACUUUCCAUUCUUCAGGGACUGCAUUUCAAGACUUGUAGGAGAUCAACUCCAUCAAGGGAACUUCAUUAAGGAGAACACCUGCUCAACACCUGCAGUGCAAGUGCAGUUAGAGACAAAUCCCUUUUCUCAUCUCUGACAACGCUCAGCGGACACUGGAGAGGAACAUGACUGCAUUCUAGAAGAGUGUCUCCUGUCUUCUAUUUCCAGCGUGGCCCUAUUACGGAAAUAAGCUAAUGGACUUCAAAGAUUUUGCUGCCUGUUUUGGCGUCGUCUCCAUAGAUUCACCACGGCUUCCUCCUUCCCUGAGCCUGCCUACUCUACCCAACAUUCCACCUCUUCCUAUGUCACAUGUAAGAGCUCAGAGUUUUAUGCAAUAAAUGUGUUAAACAAAUCAAAAAGGCAAAACCUUUUACUAAGGCACAAAGAAAAG